rnacentral:rRNA from 1 species
ACAAUGCGGAACAAUGUUUUGCAAUUGGAUUGAGAACAACGUACAAACCUUAUCGAUAAACAAUUGGAGGGCAAGUCUGGUGCCAGCAGCCGCGGUAAUUCCAGCUCCAAUAGCGUAUAUUAACGUUGUUGCAGUUAAAAAGCUCGUAGUUGAAAUGAAGGGUAGUUGUGUAAUGAAUACAUUCGUGUAUUUUGUUAUUCUACUACCCUCCUUCUAAAUUCGAUAUAUGAGUAUUAAUUUACUUGUAUAUGGUUUUAGACCUUUACUGUGAGAAAAUUAGAGUGUUCAAAGCAGGCAUUUGCUUGAAUAUAUUAGCAUGGAAUAAUCAUGUAUGAUUUUCAUGAUGUAUUUGAUUGGUUUGGUUCAUGAGAAUAAGAUUAAAAGGGACAGUUGGGGGUAUUCAUAUUCAAUAGUCAGAGGUGAAAUUCUCGGAUUUAUGGAAGAUGAC